AUGGCAGCCAACAUGUGUACACCAGAGUGUCAUGGCAUUGAACAUGCAGUGGUCUGCUGUGAAGAGACAAUGGACUUCAACUCAUCUACUACUUCAGUCCGCUAUGGCACUGAGCAUACAGUAAGCUGCAGUGAAGGUCACUGUUGUGCAGGAAAGCCCAUUGACGGUGCUGUCUCGCACACUGCAGAUGACCGGAGAGCAAGUAGGGACUUCAGCAA